rnacentral:rRNA from 1 species
GACGAACGCUGGCGGCGUGCUUAACACAUGCAAGUCGAACGGAAAGGCCCUGCUUUUGUGGGGUGCUCGAGUGGCGAACGGGUGAGUAACACGUGAGUAACCUGCCCUUGACUUUGGGAUAACUUCAGGAAACUGGGGCUAAUACAGGAUAGGAUCUCCUGCUGCAUGGUGGGGGUUGGAAAGUUUCGGCCGUUGGGGAUCGACUCGCGGCUUAUCAGCUUGUUGGUGGGGUAGUGGCUUACCAAGGCUUUGACGGGUAGCCGGCCUGGGAGGGUGACCGGGCACAUUGGGACUGCGAUACGGACCAGACGCGAACGGGAGGCAGUAGUGGGGAAUCUGGCACAAUGGGCGGACGCGUGAUGCAGAAACGCUGCGUGCGGGAUGACGGCCUUCGGGUUGUAAACCGCUUUCGCCUGUGACGAAGCGUGAGUGACGGUAAUGGGUAAAGAAGCACCGGCUAACUACGUG